rnacentral:rRNA from 1 species
AACGAUUAAAGCCCCUUCGGGGGUGUAUAAAGUGGCGAACGGGUGAGUAACAGGUGGAUAAUCUACCUUUCGGUGGGGGACAACGGUUGGAAACGGCCGCUAAUACCGCAUACGAUUGCGAGAACCUCGGUUCACGCAAGGAAAGGCGCCUCAAAGCGCCGCCGAAUGAUGAGUCCGCCCCCCAUUAGCUUGUUGGUGUGAUAAAAGCGCACCAAGGCGACGAUGGGUAGCCGGACUGAGAGGUUGGCCGGCCACACUGGGACUGAGACACGGCCCAGACACCUACGGGUGGCAGCAGUAGGGAAUAUUGCGCAAUGGGCGAAAGCUUGACGCAGCCAUGCCGCGUGGAUGACGAAGGCCUUCGGGUCGUAAAGUCCUUUUCUGAGGGAAGAACAUCCCGGGUAGGAAAUGGCCCGGGCUUGACGGUACCUCAGGAAUAAGCAACGGCUAACUCCGUGCCAGCAGCCGCGGUAAUACGGAGGUUGCAAGCGUUGUUCGGAUUUACUGGGCGUAAAGGGAGCGCAGGCGGCUUGGUCAGUCUAAAGUGAAAUCCCGGGGCU